GUGUGUGUGUAUAUAAUGAAUGCGGUGUGUUUGUGUAGUGGGUGUAUAUAAUGAAUGCGUAAUGAGUGUGUGUUUGUGUAGUGGGUGUAUAUAAUGAAUGCAGUGUGUGUAUAUAAUGAAUGCGUAAUGAGUGUGUGUUUGUGUAGUGGGUGUAUAUAAUGAAUGCAGUGUGUGUAUAUAAUGAAUGCGUAAUGAGUGUGUGUUUGUGUACUGUGUAUGUUUGUGCAGUGUGUGUGUGUAUAUAAUGAAUGUAGAGUGUUUGUGUAGUGGGUGUAUAUAAUGCAGUGUGUGUUUGUAGGUAUGCUAAGUGUGU